rnacentral:rRNA from 1 species
UACAGAGGGUGCGAGCGUUGUUCGGAAUUAUUGGGCGUAAAGGGCGCGUAGGCGGUGCCACAAGUCACUUGUGAAAUCUCCGGGCUUUAACUCGGAGCCUGCAGGCGAAACUGUGGUGCUGGAGUGUGGGAGAGGUGCGUGGAAUUCCCGGUUGUAGCGGUGAAAUGCGUAGAUAUCGGGGAGGAACGACCUGUGGCGAAAAGCGGCGCACUGGACCAUAACUGACGCUGGAGGCGCGAAAAGCUAGGGGAGCAAACAGG